UCCUAACAGGGAAAUAUCCGAAAAAUGUGUGUGUGUAUAUAUAUACACAUUUCCAUGACAGCAUUACAACAAGUUCAAGCUUUCAAUUCAGCUUUAUUGCAUUGCUAUGCUGUUCCUCCAGUCUUUGUAGACUGCCAUGGCUGUGCUGAAUGAGUGACUCACAUGGAUAACGACCACUGGUCUCUGUGACUGUGUCAUUCUCCCACACACUGUGACCGGUGGCAGGAGAAGCACACGGCCAGAGGCAGCUGACCCCUGAACAGGACCACUGUUUAAGGCCACAGAGGAGCUAUUCUCUAGCUGGGACACAAACAAUGUGGAGACAUUCUGAAUUAACACAGAUCAUGAAGGGUUGUAUGGGCAGAAUGGUCUGGAUUCAAAUGUCUCUUGAUCUUCAGCCAGAUGCAGUCACAGCCCCACUGACCUUCACCACUCCAUUUGGAGACUGAUGGGUCAUUGAUGGGUCAUGUUUGAGAGGAACAGAUCAUGACUUGACAAAGAUCAAUUUCGAUCUCAGCAUAGUCUGUUCUAAUGU